AGUUGGUCCAAAGGUUGUGGGUCACUGUUAAGUUGUUUAAUGUUGUCUCCCCUGACACCCAUACUAGACUAGCUUGUC
rnacentral:Y_RNA from 1 species